rnacentral:rRNA from 1 species
GUGAGGAAUAUUGCGCAAUGGAGGCAACUCUGACGCAGCCAUGCCGCGUGCAGGAAGAAGGCGCUACGCGUUGUAAACUGCUUUUAACCGGGAAGAAACCCCAGGACGUGUCCUGGGUUGACGGUACCGGAGGAAUAAGCACCGGCUAACUUCGUGCCAGCAGCCGCGGUAAUACGAAGGGUUCAAGCGUUAUCCGGAUUCAUUGGUUUUAAAGGGUGCGUAGGCGGAGCGUUAAGUCAGUGGUGAAAUCCUGCAGCUUAACUGUAGACUUGCCAUUGAUACUGUGGCUCUUGAGUGCGCUGGAAGUGGGCGGAAUGUGCCGUGUAGCGGUGAAAUGCUUAGAUAUGGCACAGAACACCAAUUGCGAAGGCAGCUCACUAAGGCGAUACUGACGCUGAGGCACGAAAGCGUGGGGAUCGAACAGGAUUAGAUACCCGAGUAGUCC